UACGUAGGGGGCGAGCGUUGUCCGGAGUUACUGGGCGUAAAGCGCUUGUAGGCGGUCCACCAAGUUUGGGGUGACAGUUGCCGACUUAAUCGGCAAAGUGCCUCAAAGACUGGCGGACUUGAGGGCCACAGAGGGACAUGGAACUCCAGGUGCAGUGGUGAAAUGCGUAGAUAUCUGGAAGAACACCAAAGGCGAAGGCAGUGUCCUGGGUGGUCGCUGACGCUGAGAGGCGAAAGCCAGGGGAGCGAACGGG
rnacentral:rRNA from 1 species